GACGAACGCUGGCGGCGUGCUUAACACAUGCAAGUCGAGCGGUAAGGCCCUUUCGGGGGUACGACGAGCGGCGAACGGGUGAGUAACACGUGGGUGACCUGCCUUUAGUCUCUGGGAGUAAGCCUGGGAAACGUGGGUCGUAAUACCGGAUACGACUCCGCGGUGCAUGCUGUGGGGUGGAAAGCCUUGUGCGGCUGGAGAUGGGCCCGCGGCCUAUCAGCUUGUUGGUGGGGUGGAUGGCCUACCAAGGCGACGACGGGUAGCCGGCCUGAGAGGGCGACCGGCCACACUGGGACGUGAGACACGGCCCAGACUCCUACGGGAGGGCAGCAGUGGGGAAGUCUUGCGCAAUGGGCGAAAGCCUGACGCAGCGACGCCGCGUGAGGGAUGA
rnacentral:rRNA from 1 species